GAUGAACGCUAGCUACAGGCUUAACACAUGCAAGUCGAGGGGUAACGAGAGGAAAGCUUGCUUUCCUUGUCGACGACCGGCGCACGGGUGAGUAACGCGUAUCCAACCUGCCCCCAACUAGGGAAUAACCUUGCGAAAGUAAGACUAAUACCCUAUAAUUUCCUCAGAUGUCAUCUGACGAGGAAUAAAGAUUUAUCGGUUGUGGAUGGGGAUGCGUCUGAUUAGCUUGUUGGCGGGGUAACGGCCCACCAAGGCAACGAUCAGUAGGGGUUCUGAGAGGAAGGUCCCCCCAAUUGGAACUGAGACACGGUCCAAACUCCUACGGGAGGCAGCAGUGAGGAAUAUUGGUCAAUGGGCGGAAGCCUGAACCAGCCAAGUAGCGUGCAGGAUGACGGCCCUAUGGGUUGUAAACUGCUUUUAUACAGGAAUAAAGUUAGCCACGUGUGGUUAUUUGUAGGUACUGCAUGAAUAAGGACCGGCUAAUUCCGUGCCAGCAGCCGCAGUAA
rnacentral:rRNA from 1 species